rnacentral:tRNA from 1 species
UAUUAAUUUAAAUUAUUUUGGCAGAUUAGUGUAAUGAAUUUAGAAUUCAUAAAAGUAAAAUAUUUUACAAGUAAUAC